AUUGAACGCUGGCGGCAUGCCUUACACAUGCAAGUCGAACGGUAACAGGUCUUCGGAUGCUGACGAGUGGCGAACGGGUGAGUAAUACAUCGGAACGUGCCUAGUAGUGGGGGAUAACUACUUGAAAGAGUGGCUAAUACCGCAUGAGAUCUACGGAUGAAAGCAGGGGAUCGCAAGAUCCUGUGCAUCUAGAGCGGCAGAUGGCAGAUUAGGUAGUUGGUGGGAUAAAAGCUUACCAAGCCGACGAUCUGUAGCUGGUCUGAGAGGACGAUCAGCCACACUGGGACUGAGACACGGCCCAGACUCCUACGGGAGGCAGCAGUGGGGAAUUUUGGACAAUGGGCGAAAGCCUGAUCCAGCAAUGCCGCGUGCAGGAUGAAGGCCUUCGGGUUGUAAACUGCUUUUGUACGGAACGAAAAGCCCCGGGUUAAUACCCUGGGGUCAUGACGGUACCGUAAGAAUAAGCACCGGCUAACUACGUGCCAGCCGCCGCAGUAA
rnacentral:rRNA from 1 species